rnacentral:pre_miRNA from 1 species
GUACUGGACCAAUGUAUAUGUUUAACUUACUGGACCAAUGUAUAUGAACAUAUACAUUGGUCCAGUAAGUUAAACAUAUACAUUGGUCCAGUAA